rnacentral:rRNA from 1 species
AUAUCAAUAAGCGGAGGAAAAGAAACCAACAGGGAUUGCCUUAGUAACGGCGAGUGAAGCGGCAAAAGCUCAAAUUUGAAAUCUGGCGCAAGCCCGAGUUGUAAUUUGAAGAAGGUAAUUUUUGGGAAGAUGUAGACAAAAGUUCCUUGGAACAGGACGUCAUAGAGGGUGAGAAUCCCGUUUUGUUUACCUCUCUUUCCUUGUAAAAUGCUUUCGAAGAGUCGAGUUGUUUGGGAAUGCAGCUCUAAGUGGGUGGUAAAUUCCAUCUAAAGCUAAAUAUUGGCGAGAGACCGAUAGCGAACAAGUACAGUGAUGGAAAGAUGAAAAGAACUUUGAAAAGAGAGUGAAAAAGUACGUGAAAUUGUUGAAAGGGAAGGGUUUUAAGGGAGACUUGGGGGGUAAUGAACAAUUUUCCUUUGGGAAGGUGCACUCGUUAUUCUCUGGGCCAAUAUGGGUUUGUGGAGUAGGAUAAAAGGGAAGGAAUGUGGCCAUUCGUGGUGUUAUAGCCUUCUCCAAUACUACUACCGUAGACCAAGGAAAGCGAUUUCUAGGAUAUUGGCGUAAUCCG